AACCUGAUAACACCAUUUGGUUACAUGAGCAGAUGGUCAAAGAUUUAUCGGCAAAGGAUGGGCCUGCGUCUGAUUAGCUAGUUGGUAAGGUAACGGCUUACCAAGGCGACGAUCAGUAGCCGACCUGAGAGGGUGAACGGCCACAUUGGAACUGAGACACGGUCCAAACUCCUACGGGAGGCAGCAGUGGGGAAUAUUGCACAAUGGGCGAAAGCCUGAUGCAGCAACGCCGCGUGAAGGAAGAAGGCCUUCGGGUCGUAAACUUCUGUCCUUGGGGAAGAAGAACUGACGGUACCCAAGGAGGAAGCCCCGGCUAACUACGUGCCAGCAGCCGCGGUAAUACGUAGGGGGCAAGCGUUAUCCGGAAUUAUUGGGCGUAAAGAGUACGUAGGUGGCAACCUAAGCGCAGGGUUUAAGGCAAUGGCUCAACCAUUGUUCGCCCUGCGAACUGGGAUGCUUGAGUGCAGGAGAGGAAAGCGGAAUUCCUAGUGUAGCGGUGAAAUGCGUAGAUAUUAGGAGGAACACCAGUGGCGAAGGCGGCUUUCUGGACUGUAACUGACACUGAGGUACGAAAGCGUGGGGAGCAAACAGGAUUAGAUACCCUGGUAGUCCACGCCGUAAACGAU
rnacentral:rRNA from 1 species